rnacentral:lncRNA from 1 species
ACACACGCACGCACGCACACACACGCACGCACGCGCACACACACACGCGCACACACACGCACACGCCCGCGCACACACUCUCUCACACACACACAGAGAUUGGAGAGAGACAGGAGAGAGACAUGUUUUCAUCUAUCCUUUGUGGACUUCUGUUGUUUUUACUGCUGUGAAAUUUGACUUGCGAUAUCUGCUUAAAGCAAUGAAGAGAAAAGCUGAAGUCAGUGAUUAGGAGUGUCUGUGUAAGUAAAAGCAACAGGCAAUUACUGAGUGUGGUGUGAGAGGCACGGAAAGAUUGGGAAUUCAGCAAGAAGAGGAAUUGAAGUCAAACCUCACCUACUUCCCAGAGUCUUCUGGAUUUUCUGUUAGAAGCUUCAGUAUCUGAGGAAAGGACUCAGGCAACAAAUAAACAGCUAAGAUUUUACUAGAGUAUGAAAGGGAGAGCACUGGAGUGCAGUGCGGGGAUGGAGAUGCAGCUGUGGUGGCUGGAAGUACAGGAGGGCAGCUGGAGGCACCUGGCCUCUGAAGCCUGUCUUCUUCAUCUGGGUGAGAUCUGCUGGAGUCAGGAAGGACUUCCUGCUGCAAGGAUAAAGGGUUUAGGGGUUUUGCUCUGUCACGCAGGUGAAGUGUGGUGGCGUAAUCAUGACUCACUGCAGCCUCGAACUCCGGGACUCAAGCUAAUCUCUUUCCUCAGCCUUCCCAGCAGCUGGGACUACAGAAUCCCACCCAUCCUAAGGCAUUACAUUUAGUCAUCAUAGCUCUUUCUUCACAGAAUUAGAAAAAACUACUUUAAAUUUCAUAUGGAACCAAAAAAGAGCCCAUAUAGCCAAGAAAAUCUUAAGCAAAAAGAACAAAGAUGGAGGCAUCAUGCUAACUGACUUCAAACUAUACUACAAGGCUACAGUAACCAAAACAGCAUGGUACUGGUGCCAAAACAGAUAUAUAGACCAAUGGAAUAGAACAGAGGCCUCAGAAAAACGUCACCCAUCUACAACCAUCUGAUCUUCAACAAAUCUGACAAAAACAAAUAAUGGGGAAGAAAUUCUGUAUUUAAUAAAUGAUCUUGGGAAAACUGGCUAGCCACAUGCAGAAAACUGAAGCUGGGCUCCUUCCUUACACCUUAUACAAAAAUUAACUCAAGAUGGAUUAAAGACUUAAACGUAAGACCUAAAACCAUAGAAACCCUAGAAGAAUACCUAGGCAAUACCAUUGAGGACACAGACAUGGGCAAAUGACUAAAGCAACAAAAGCCAAAAUUGACAAAUGGGAGCUAAUUAAACUAAAGAGCUUCUGAACAGCAAAAGAAACUAUCAUCAGAGUGAACAGGCAACCUACAGAAUGGGAGAAAAUUUUUGCAAUCUAUCCACCUGACAAAGGGCUAAUAUCCAGAAUCUACAAAUAACUUAAACAAAUUUACAAGAAAAAAAACAAACAACCCCAUCAAGAAGUGGGUGAAGGAUAUGAAAAGACACUUCUCAAAAGAAGACAUUUAUGUGGCCAACAAACAUGAAAAAAAGCUCAUCAUCACUGGGCAUUAGAGAAAUGCAAAUCAAAACCACAAUGAGAUACCAUCUCACGCCAGUUAGAAUGGCGAUCUUUAAAAAGUCAGGAAACAACAGAUGCUGGAGAGGAUGUGGAGAGAUAGGAAUGCUUUUACACUGUUGGUAGGAGUGUAAAUUAGUUCAGCAAUUGUGGAAGACUGUGUGGAGAUUCCUCAAGGAUCUAGAACCAGAAAUGCCAUUUGACCGAGCAAUCCCAUUACUGGCUAUAUACCCAAAGGAUUAUAAAUCAUUCUACUAUAGAGACACAUCCACCUGUAUGUUGAUUGCAGCACUGUUCACAAUAGCAAAGACUUGGAACCAAUGCAAAUGCCCAUCAAUGAUCGGCUGGAUAAAGAAAAUGUGGCACAUAUACACCGUGAAAUACUAUGUAGCCAUAAAAAAGGAUGAGUUCAUGUCCUUUGCAGGGAUAUGGAUGAAGCUGGAAACCAUCAUUCUCUGCAAACUAAUACAGGAACAGAAUGCCAAACACCACAUGUUCUCACUCAUAAGUGGGAGUUGAACAAUGAGAACACAUGAAUACCGGGAGGGAACAUCACACACCAGGGCCUGUCAGAGGGUCGGGGGCUAGGGAAGGGAUAGCAUUAGGAGAAAUACCUAAUGUAGAUUAUGGGUUGAUGGGUGCAGCAAACCACCAUGGCACAUGUAUAGCUAUGUAACAAACCUGCACGUUCUACACAUGUAUCCCAGAACUUAAAGCAUAAGUAAAAUAAAAAAAUAAUUAAAUGAGGAAGAAGAGUCAAAUUUUUGUGCAGAAAAAUUUGAAAGAAUUUAUGUAGAUACUACUUCCUCAAUGAGGAAGAGCAUAACUCUAUGCUCUUUAAGUCGGACAUGAACAUACUCAUUUCUUUCAAAAGAGUACAAUAUGAAAAGAGGGAAAAAGAAUAACUGUACAGUAAAGAAACCUGACAAUUGCUACCUUGGCCAAGUGACCCAGGUCAACAUCAACAGUGAUAGUGACGUUUAUGUCAUGUCCACUUGAAAUGAUGUGAUUAAAAAAAGGCACUUUACCUCUGUGUUCUUCUUCCUAUUCCCAUAAUUCCAGACUAAUUAUUUAAAAAUUUUCAUAUGUAUUCCAAUUAAAGAACAUUCUAAAAAAUACCCAACUGGUAAUUCUCAAAACUGCCUAGGUCAUCGAAACAAGCAAAAUUUGAGAAACUGUUACAUUUAUGGAUUUUUAAAUAUUGAAACAAAUCUCAUAUUUCUG